rnacentral:rRNA from 1 species
UCGAGAGUUUGAUCCUGGCUCAGGAUGAACGCUAGCGGCAGGCUUAACACAUGCAAGUCGAGGGGUAUAGUUCUUCGGAGCUAGAGACCGGCGCACGGGUGCGUAACGCGUAUGCAAUCUACCUUUUACAGAGGGAUAGCCCAGAGAAAUUUGGAUUAAUACCUCAUAGUAUGUGAGAAUCGCAUGGUUUUCACAUUAAACGUUCCAACGGUAAAAGAGUGAGUAUGCGUCCCAUUAGCUAGAUGGUAACGGUAAC